GUUGUCGUUUGUUUAUGUGUUACAUAUUUGUUUUUCGUUCAUUUUUUGUACAUGAAUAAGGCCGCUAAUUUUCUGGUUUGGAUUGUGUUAGGCAGCAACCAUUUGAUUUUCGGGGGGGGGCUAUGGUUUUUUUUUUCUGUGCAAACUUUUUUUUUCGCCUUCGGCGAAGAACAAUCUAUUUUUUUAGCGACAAACCGAAAACAAUUUUUUUCUUUUAAUUUUAGCAUUACAUAUAGUGGCAGCUGAGGGUGAAACAAACAAUUUUUUUUCUCAGGGUCCAAAACAAAUUAUUUUUUUCACCAAAACCUGGAAACAAACUUUUUUUUCCAAAAAAACCAUAGCCCCCCCCCCCC
rnacentral:lncRNA from 1 species